AGGAAUAUUGCACAAUGGGGGCAACCCUGAUGCAGCAACGCCGCGUGGGGAUGAAGGCCCUUAGGGUCGUAAACCCCUUUUCUCGAGGAAGAGGAAGGACGGUACUCGAGGAAUCAGUCACGGCUAACUACGUGCCAGUAGCCGCGGUAAUACGUAGGUGGCAAGCGUUUAUCCGGAAUUACUGGGCGUAAAGCGCACGUAGGCGGUCAUUUAAGUCUGACGUGAAAGCUCCUGGCUUAACUGGGAGAGGACGUUGGAGACUGGAUGGCUUGAGGCGAUGAGAGGGGCGUAGAAUUCCCGGUGUAGUGGUGGAAUGCGUAGAUAUCGGGAGGAAUACCAGUGGCGAAAGCGGCGUCCUAGCAUCGGCCUGACGUUCAUGUGCGAAAGCGUGGGGAGCGAACGGGAUUAGAUACCCCGGUAGUCCACGCGGUAAACGAUGAACACUAGGUGUGGGGAGUGUUAAAACUGUCCGUGCCGAAGCCAACGCGUUAAGUGUUCCGCCUGGGGAGUACGGCCGCAAGGCUA
rnacentral:rRNA from 1 species